GACGUAGGGCGCAAGCGUUGUUCGGAUUUACUGGGCGUAAAGGGCGCGUAGGCGGCCAGCACAAGUCAGUUGUGAAAUCUCCGAGCUUAACUCGGAAAGGUCAACUGAUACUGUGCGGCUAGAGUGCGGAAGGGGCAACUGGAAUUCUUGGUGUAGCGGUGAAAUGCGUAGAUAUCAAGAGGAACACCUGCGGCGAAGGCGGGUUGCUGGGCCGACACUGACGCUGAUGCGCGAAAGCUAGGGGAGCGAACGGG
rnacentral:rRNA from 1 species